rnacentral:tRNA from 1 species
AGCAAAGUAAGCUAAGUAAGCUAGUGGGUUCAUACCCCAUUAAUAGAGGAAGUCCUCUCUUCUCUA